GUAAAGCUACAUUUUUCAACACUGAACCAAAUUUCAGAAAUCCUUGUUACGAUUGUUGAUGCUGACGGACUGAAUGAUGGACAGACAGACAGAGGUAAAACAGUAAACCCCACUUUUUUAAAGGGUUUAUUUUAAUCCCCAUUAUUCCAGUUAAAAGACUGUAUCCAUUCCGUUUCAUGAUUUCAUUAAAUUCCAAAUUCAAGUUAAAAGAAUGUAUCCAUUCUGUAUCAUGAUAUUAUUAAAUUCUCCAAAUUCCAGUUAAAAGAAUGUAUCCAUUCUGUAUCACGACAU
rnacentral:lncRNA from 1 species